rnacentral:rRNA from 1 species
GUAACACGUAUCCAACCUGCCGAUGACUCGGGGAUAGCCUUUCGAAAGAAAGAUUAAUACCCGAUGGCAUAGUUCUUCCGCAUGGUAGAACUAUUAAAGGAUUUCGGUCAUCGAUGGGGAUGCGUUCCAUUAGGUUGUUGGCGGGGUAACGGCCCACCAAGCCCUCGAUGGAUAGGGGUUCUGAGAGGAAGGUCCCCCACAUUGGAACUGAGACACGGUCCAAACUCCUACGGGAGGCAGCAGUGAGGAAUAUUGGUCAAUGGACGAGAGUCUGAACCAGCCAAGUAGCGUGAAGGAUGACUGCCCUAUGGGUUGUAAACUUCUUUUAUACGGGAA